rfam:Schistosoma rodhaini strain Burundi genome assembly, scaffold: SROB_scaffold0000025
AUCCAGCUAGUGACGAGUCCGAAAAUAGGACGAAACACGCUUCCUGGAU